GGAAGUGUGGGUGAGUGGCUGAAACCACAGGUUUGCUAAACCUGCAAGCGGGCAACCGCUUCGGGGGUUCGAAUCCCCCCGCUUCCG
rnacentral:tRNA from 1 species